AUCCAAAACUUAAACGAAACUUAUAUAUAUUGCUAUCUCAAAAAGAAAUACAAACAUCGAUUAUACAGAGGUUCUCAAUUCUUCACACAACCAGCCCGUGCCAAGCACUAGGGCGAGAACCAAUACAAAAGAAUCAAAAGAACUAGACUAAGCUAGUCGUUACAAAGCUCUCGUCCUUACUCGCCUUCCUCUGUUAAGGAAAACAAAACUAAAGGAAUGAGUUAAAAACUCAGUGAGGUUCCGAACACAUAAUCAAACAAGCAAUCCAAUACAUUAAACAUAGAGUAUCAAUAAUUCAAGAAACAUUUACAAGGGAAAGCGAUAAUAACACAUACAUUAAAAGGAUACGGGCUCACAGGGAGUCAUUUAUUUGUUUGUUCGUUCGUUCUCCUGUCAUUCCCCUUAUUCCUCCAAUCAUUUGAAAAUGCGUUUUGUAAGUAAAACCCUCGUUCGUUCGUUCGUUCACCCCCUCUUGGACAUUGGCCAGGCUCCACCGACAACAAGGUAAUACUUGAGUAUACCAAACGUUCACGCCCAGGGUCACCAU
rnacentral:lncRNA from 1 species